rnacentral:sRNA from 1 species
UAUCUCUCCGUACGGGGAAGGAUGAGAAGCUUCGACUAAGGUUCGAUUCGAGCGAAAGCGAGAAAGCGUUGCCAACGGCAACGACCCGAAGGGCGAAGCG